rnacentral:rRNA from 1 species
UCAGGACGAACGCUGGCGGCGUGCCUAACACAUGCAAGUCGAACGGAACGAAAAGAGCUUGCUCUUGGCGUUUAGUGGCGGACGGGUGAGUAACACGUGAGUAACCUGCCUUUCAGAGGGGAAUAAUGUCUGGAAACGGACACUAAUACCGCAUAAAAUAUUUUAACCGCAUGAUUGAAAUAUCAAAGGAGCAAUCCGCUGAAAGAUGGACUCGCGUCUGAUUAGCCAGUUGGCGGGUAACGGCCCACCAAAGCGACGAUCAGUAGCCGGACUGAGAGGUUGAACGGCCACAUUGGGACUGAGACACGGCCCAGACUCCUACGGGAGGCAGCAGUGGGGGAUAUUGCACAAUGGGCGCAAGCCUGAUGCAGCCAACGCCGCGUGCAGGAAGACGGUCUUCGGAUUGUAAACUGUUGUCCUCUGUGACGAUAAUGACGGUAGCAGAGGAGGAAGCCACGGCUAACUACGUGCCAGCCGCGGC